rnacentral:rRNA from 1 species
CAACUUUUAACGGUGGAUUUUUGGCUCGCGCAUCGAUGAAGAACGUAUCCAGUUGCGAUACGUAUGUGAAUUGCAGAAUUCAGCGAAUUAUCGAAUCUUUUGAACGCCAUAUUCGCCGCUUGUUUAUAUAUCCCACGCGACCGUUGUACCUUUGUUCACAAUCCU